rnacentral:rRNA from 1 species
UACGUAGGGUGCAAGCGUUGUCCGGAAUUAUUGGGCGUAAAGAGCUCGUAGGCGGUCUGUCGCGUCUGCUGUGAAAACCCGGGGCUCAACCGCGGGCUUGCAGUUGAUACGGGCAGGCUAGAGUUCGGUAGGGGAGACUGGAAUUCCGUGGUGUAGCGGUGAAAUGCGCAGAUAUCAGGAGGAACACCGGUGGCGAAGGCGGGUCUCUGGGCCGUAACUGACGCUGAGGAGCGAAAGCAUGGGGAGCGAACAGG